UGGAUUUGUGGACUAGACGUUACGGAGUCAGUUUGGACAUAAUUCUGGGUCAGAUUGCAACCGUCCAAUCUUUCGUCGACGAUAUAGUGACCCAUUACGGGAAAGUUGCCAUGUGUGUAAAAAAGAAGAAGAAGAAAAAAAAAAGGAUAAAAUGCCACUUCCGAGAAUAUAGUACCGGGUCAGCUACGACGACAAAACCUUGCACCAAACAGCCUAGGCCUAGUUGUGAAGCCAGAGCUCGUUCUCCUGAAAUCGAUAUAUCUGUUGAGGCGAAUAGCAAGGGAUUCCAGAUUACAGAACAACGAUACGAGAAGAAAGAUAAGGAAUUAUCACGCGCACACACAGUCAUAGAAGAGGAAACACAAAUGACUGAGAUGGAAAUAACUCUGCCCUUGGGAUGACUGAAGAAACGCAAGGUUGCAUCAAGGUUGAGUCUCCAGGGUUUUAGAAGGU